CUACGGGGGGCAGCAGACGCGAAUCAUUUACAAUGCGCGCAAGCGUGAUAAUGCGAGCCAAAGUGUUUUUCGUUUAGAAAAACUUUUCUUUACUGUAAAAAUGUAGAGGAAUAAGGACUGGGAAAGACCGGUGCCAGCCGCCGCGGUAAUACCGGCAGUUCAAGUUGCAUCCCUUUUUAUUGGGUCUAAAACAUCCGUAGCUUGGAAUUUAAGUCUCUUGUGAAAUCUCACGUCUCAAGCGUGGUGAAGUGCAGGAGAUACUGGAUUCCUAGAGAUCGGUAGACGUAAGGAGUACGCCGGGGGUAAUGGUAAAAUAUGUUAAUCCUCGGUGGACUAACAAUGAGCGAAGGCACCUUACGAGGACGAAUCUGACAGUGAGGGAUGAAGGCCAGGGGCGCAAAACGGAUUAGAUACCCGAGUAGUC
rnacentral:rRNA from 1 species